UAAGGAAUAUUGGUCAAUGGACGCAAGUCUGAACCAGCCAUGCCGCGUGGAGGAUGACGGCCCUCUGGGUUGUAAACUCCUUUUAUCUGGGAAGAAAUGCAGAUUUUCUAAUCUGUUUGACGGUACCAGAGGAAUAAGCACCGGCUAACUCCGUGCCAGCAGCCGCGGUAAUACGGAGGGUGCAAGCGUUAUCCGGAUUCACUGGGUUUAAAGGGUGCGUAGGUGGAGUGGUAAGUCAGUGGUGAAAUCUCCAAGCUUAACUUGGAAACUGCCGUUGAUACUAUCAUUCUUGAAUAUCGUGGAGGUAAGCGGAAUAUGUCAUGUAGCGGUGAAAUGCUUAGAUAUGACAUAGAACACCGAUUGCGAAGGCAGCUUACUACACGAUCAUUGACACUGAGGCACGAAAGCGUGGGGAUCAAACAGG
rnacentral:rRNA from 1 species